rnacentral:rRNA from 1 species
UGAGGAAUAUUGGUCAAUGGGCGCAGGCCUGAACCAGCCAAGUCGCGUGAGGGAAGACGGUCCUACGGAUUGUAAACCUCUUUUGUCGGGGAGUAACGUGCGGGACGGGUCCCGUAUUGAGAGUACCCGAAGAAUAAGCCACGGCUAACUACGUGCCAGCAGCCGCGGUAAUACGUAGGUGGCAAGCGUUGUCCGGAUUUACUGGGUGUAAAGGGCGUGUAGCCGGGAGGGCAAGUCAGAUGUGAAAUCCACGGGCUUAACUCGUGAACUGCAUUUGAAACUGUUCUUCUUGAGUAUCGGAGAGGCAAUCGGAAUUCCUAGUGUAGCGGUGAAAUGCGUAGAUAUUAGGAGGAACACCAGUGGCGAAGGCGGAUUGCUGGACGACAACUGACGGUGAGGCGCGAAAGCGUGGGGGAGC